rnacentral:rRNA from 1 species
UACAGAGACUGCAAGCGUUAUUCGGAUUCACUGGGCGUAAAGGGUGCGCAGGCGGCCAAGUGUGUUAGGCGUGAAAGCCCGGGGCUUAACCUCGGAAUUGCACCUAAAACUACUUGGCUAGAGCAUUGGAGAGGGUAGCGGAAUUCACGGUGUAGCAGUGAAAUGCGUAGAUAUCGGGAGGAACACCAGAGGCGAAGGCGGGUCUCUGGACAGUUCCUGACACUGAGGCACGAAGGUCAGGGGAGCAAACGGG